rnacentral:sRNA from 1 species
GCUGGGUGUGGUGGUGCACACCUGCAGUCCCAGCUACUUGGGAAACUGAGGCAGGAGGAUCACUUCAGCCCAGGAGAUUGAGGCUGCAGUGAGCUGUGAUGGUGCUACUGUACUCCAGCCUGGGCAACAGAGUGAGACCCUGCCUCAA